CCAUUCUGAAACUAAAUAGUUUUUCCAAAAGAUAGAUUUUAUUUGGUAAAGUUUUGGUCAGAAAUAUAUUGUCAAGAGCAGUCCAUAAAUCUCUAGUAGUCUUAGACUCAUCAAUUUGUCUAACCAUGUUAUCAGAUAAAUGCAAAAUUAUUGAACUAUAUGCAAUUUCGUUCAUCUCUUCAAUUUCACUAGGUUUAGCUUUAAGUUCAUCAGGAAAUUUUUCUGGAGCAUCAAGGGCUUUUGCAACCCUCUGUUGGACCAAAAUGGCCAUCAUUUUCUGUUUCCAUAUAGCGUAGUCUCUCUUUCCAUCGAAUUGACUUAAUUUGACCUGUAAACCCAUUGCAGGUUGUGUAAAAGGGUGGCAACACUCAUGGACAUAGUGUGAUCUCAUGUGCAGAUCAAACUAUUAACAGAAAAGGUUUUUAAAAAAAUUCCAAUUUAAAGCACUUAUCAAAAUAUAGUAAUUGAAGCAGAUAAGUAUGAUUUUUGAUCAAGAAUUAUAUUAAUAUCAAUAAUGAUCACAAUGACAGUAAUUAUGUAUCAAGAAUUGCAAGCUGCAGUCUUAAGCAAUUUCGAAACAUAACGUAUCAUUGAGCAGACAUAUGUCCAUGCAAGUCAGAUUCAUCUUCCAUACAAGAAAGUAACUAUGUAGUUACAUAUAUCAAUAAACAUGCAUCAAUAGUUCAACAAUUAUAAAGAUUUAUGGAAAUUUCUCCCCAAACUACUGUUUGUGAAAAACAGUAAAAAAGGGAUCAAUCCUGAGACCAAGAACACAAUCACCAGUGGCCAAGUGGUGAUAAGUCCACCGUUACUCACUGAAAAGUCACAAAAUAAGAUUAUUAGUGAAAAAAUUUUGUCAGAUCCUUUAAAAAAUCGACAGAUCUUAAAAAAAAAUUCAGAUUCAAAAUAUUUUUUCUUCGACCUAAAGAAUAACUUGUGUAAAGAAGCACAUCCAGAAACCCUCUUGGCUUUGAUACCAAUUUUGUUGGGUAUUUCUUGAUGAUAAAGAACUCUGACUGAAAACAAUAAAUCAAAGUACUCAAAUGAUAAAACGAAAAACAAGACAAAACAACGAAAUUUGUUGACCUAGUUCAACCAAACACGGCCUAAUUUGGGGGGCUCAGUAGUUGAACCCGUUCCACUAUGCAAAUUGCCGUCCAAGAGAACCAAAGUUACAUCAAACCACUCAGAAUACACAAGUUUCGAUCAUUGAUCAACAGAUCUACGAAACCAAACACAAAUCCUUCCACAGUACUUAGCCCUAACUCCAUAGUUUACACAAACCGAAACCAACAGCCACAAAAACCAACCCACAAAUUAUUAAGGCCUAGUGUAAAAAUACAAUUACACAAGAAAAAUUUAACCAAAGAGAAGAAAGAGAUGAAAAAUCUCUCUCGAAGAAGGCUCCAGAGAGAGACUAGUAACAAGAAAAAUGAAUCUGAAAAACCAACCGUCGAGCAGCCAUUUUCAUUUGGAAGUUUCCGUUACACUGUCCAGUGGAAAAUAAUCCAUUUUAAUACGUGGUAUGUGGUUGAUAAUGAAGUUUGACCAAAUCAUUGCCAGGAACAUAGAAUAUCUCCAGGAUUCAUUUGGAGAAAUAUGGAAGUAAAUAAUGAUAUAGGCUGUAAAUGAGAGAUUGAAUUAAGUGGCAAACAGAUUCUUUAGUAAUUUUGGGUAACCAUAAUAACAUGUCAACAUCUAAUAUGAAGUACAUCAGGAUUUUCUUGAGCAUAGAAAGAUUGAAAGAGAAAAAGUUGCAUCGAGAUACACCUUUCUGGAUCGUUAUUUCAGAAAGGUCACUUUACUGAUGCUAGAAUAAAAGGUGCAAAAUUGAUAUCACUCCAUGUCAGAGUGGGAAGUGGAUGUACUAAUACUUUGCACCAAAUAUUCAACAUAUUGAAUUAAUGCCGCCGGUAAAGGGUUAGUGGCAUUAAUUUGAUGUCUGGGCUUUUUAUUACAGCUUUUAGGUCAUUUUUUAUUGGUUAAGGCAAAUCUUUGAGGAUCCCAUUUAGAUUGAUGGAUUUGAAAUCAAUUUCCCAAAUCCGGUAAUGGUGUUUGAUAACUCACACUUUCUAAGGUUAUAAGUUCACCAUAAAACCUAACCAAUUUGAGGCUCACUUUAUGUUGAUUUCAAAUCCAUUGACUCUCCAUCGUCAUUGUUCAGCAUAGUGCAGAGGUGGUUUGUGAGAGUUUAAAGCAACAGUGGUGUUGCAACGACAAUAUCAUGGAGGUGUUGGGUUGAGAGACGGUGGGUGAUGGUAGUGGUGGCAGGUUGUGGUGUUCCUUGACAGAGGUGGCUUUGUGCGGUUUUGGCGGGACAGAAGGUGACCAAGGCAGGUGAUGGUGAAGGCUAAUGGCAUUGACAAUUCCAGCCUGAGCUUUACUUAAUAGGAGUACUUAUGUAAUUAACCAUGACUGGAGCCUAGAAAUCAAAAUUCAAGUGCUUGCUGCUUGGGGCCUGAUGCAUUUUUUUGAAUUCGUUGUGAAUUUUUGUGGUUUGAUUCAGUUGUGUGAAGGCUGAAAAUAGGAAUUUUCUUAUGACGGAUUGAGCAUGCAGUGCGGUUUUGUAAAUUAUAAUCAUGCAACAUAAAUUUGAUGCAUUGCUCUAUAUAUGUCUCUGUGAUGUAUAAUUGCUCUCUCUCUAUGUAAGUUUGCUGCAAACUUUUUUCCUUUUAGCUUCUAUAGGCAGAGAGGAAACUGUGUAUGGCAUAGUUUUUUGUUGUUUUGAAGUUUCGCACAUUUAAUUUA